rnacentral:rRNA from 1 species
GAUGAACGCUGGCGGCGUGCUUAACACAUGCAAGUCGAACGGAACUACUCCAAUGAGAGUCUUCGGAAAGGAUUUGGUUUAGUUUAGUGGCGGACGGGUGAGUAACGCGUGGGUAACCUGCCCUAUACAGGGGGAUAACAGUUGGAAACGACUGUUAAUACCGCAUAAGCGCACAGGAGCGCAUGCUCCGGUGUGAAAAACUCCGGUGGUAUAGGAUGGACCCGCGUCUGAUUAGCUGGUUGGCGGGGUAACGGCCCACCAAGGCGACGAUCAGUAGCCGGCCUGAGAGCGUGAACCGCCACAUUGGGACUGAGACACGGCCCAAACACCUACGGGAGGCAGCAGAGGGGAAUAUUGCACAAGGGGGGAAACCCUGAUGCAGCGACGCCGCGUGAGCGAAGAAGUAUCUCGGUAUGUAAAGCUCUAUCAGCAGGGAAGAAAAUGACGGUACCUGACUAAGAAGCCCCGGCUAACUACGUG